rnacentral:rRNA from 1 species
GAUGAACGCUGGCGGCGUGCCUAAUACAUGCAAGUCGAGCGAACAGAUGAGGAGCUUGCUCCUCUGACGUUAGCGGCGGACGGGUGAGUAACACGUGGAUAACCUACCUAUAAGACUGGGAUAACUUCGGGAAACCGGAGCUAAUACCGGAUAAUAUAUUGAACCGCAUGGUUCAAUAGUGAAAGACGGUUUUGCUGUCACUUAUAGAUGUAUCCGCGCCGCAUUAGCUAGUUGGUAAGGUAACGGCUUACCAAGGCAACGAUGCGUAGCCGACCUGAGAGGGUGAUCGGCCACACUGGAACUGAGACACGGUCCAGACUCCUACGGGAGGCAGCAGUAGGGAAUCUUCCGCAAUGGGCGAAAGCCUGACGAAGCAACGCCGCGUGAGUGAUGAAGGUCUUCGGAUCGUAAAACUCUGUUAUUGGGGAAGAACAAAUGUGUAAGUAACUAUGCACGUCUUGACGGUACCUAAUCAGAAAGCCACGGCUAACUACGUG